rnacentral:tRNA from 1 species
UAGCGCAAAACGUGAACGUCACGAAAACGUCAUCCCCGUUGAUUUUGAAGCACGGGAACGUUUUCAACCAACCGCAA